UCUCCUGGAAAACGGGUGGUAAUGCCGGAUGCUCCAGUUGACCGCAUGGUCCUCUGGGAAAGCUUUUGCGGUAUGGGAUGGGGUCGCGUCCUAUCAGCUUGAUGGCGGGGUAACGGCCCACCAUGGCUUCGACGGGUAGCCGGCCUGAGAGGGCGACCGGCCACAUUGGGACUGAGAUACGGCCCAGACUCCUACGGGAGGCAGCAGUGGGGAAUAUUGCACAAUGGGCGCAAGCCUGAUGCAGCGACGCCGCGUGCGGGAUGACGGCCUUCGGGUUGUAAACCGCUUUUGACUGGGAGCAAGCCCUUCGGGGUGAGUGUACCUUUCGAAUAAGCACCGGCUAACUACGUGCCAGCAGCCGCGGUAAUACGUAGGGUGCAAGCGUUAUCCGGAAUUAUUGGGCGUAAAGGGCUCGUAGGCGGUUCGUCGCGUCCGGUGUGAAAGUCCAUCGCUUAACGGUGGAUCCGCGCCGGGUACGGGCGGGCUUGAGUGCGGUAGGGGAGACUGGAAUUCCCGGUGUAACGGUGGAAUGUGUAGAUAUCGGGAAGAACACCACCCC
rnacentral:rRNA from 1 species